UACAUUCAACUACCCAUAACAACAUUUGACUUCUAAUACAACCUAUUUGGACAUUGUUUAUGCAGUCACAUGAAAUCUCUUCCAAAAUACACAUAACAUGGGACUGGAACUCAUCCUUCAAAAUGACAAACAAACCUCAAAGCCAUUAAAAAUGUUCAGAUCCUCAUUUCAAUGAAUAAUAAACAAUGAGCUGAUUGUACUAUGACUUUAAACAAGACUGCUAUAUAAACUCACUACUCUCAACAUGCGUUUUUGAACAUAUACCAUAGAACAAACUCCAUUCACAAAAGAAACAUCAGAGCAAACUUAAACAUAAUAAACAAAGAGAUGGACAAGGAAAAAUGGGAUAAAAUCUGGAUAGCCUAAAAGAGACAUGAAAAAUAAAACUCCAAAACAAAAGGAUCCUCAUUGACUUCAGCAGAACAUGUAUCUUCCAUACAACACAUAUUCAAGCCUUAUUUGCCAUUCAUGGUUCAAAAGAAUACCUGGAAUGAUAAGAACAAACAACAGAGCUUCUCAUCAAAGCAAUAACAGUAGCCACAACAUUCGAUCAGCAGUAAACAACAAAUUUAAACAGCUAAUACCAUCGUUUGAACCCAAGAGAAUAGCAGUAUGCUUGAACUUUUAAAAUUCCCAGAAAUAUGAAAAGGCAAAACUAUAAUGGAACCGUGAUUGUGAGAUUUUUCUCCUUUCUUUCUAAUUUUCAAAGCUUUUUUCAGUGAGUAACUAUCUUUCAGCCGUUUCUAACUUUUCAGACUUUUUAAUCUCUAAAAUCUGCCUUGGCUAUGAAGGAACAUGCCUUUUAUAGAAAGCUUCUAGGGCAGCAUAAUUGGUUCUGCCAUUUAACCAUUACCCCUUCCCCAAUUUCCAAUUUGUUCACUUUAGACCCUGAUUUUCUAGUUUGCUUGCUAAGUCAGUCCCAAGCCCCACUUUCCUAGAAGUUUCCCAAUCAGUUAAUGAAGAUUCCCUUAUCCAAACUCCCCAAAUUACCCCUCGAAUUCCAUUAUUAACCUUCUUAGUCUGAGACAAAGUAGGCUACUUGAAUCCCAAUCCUGGGCCUAAACCAAUGGGCUUUAAUGCCCCAUGUUUGGACCGCCAUAAAUCCCAAACAUGAUCCCAAAUCAGUAAGGUAAUGAAACAAAUCGAGUAAAAUACAAAAAACUCAAAAUAAUCAGUAGAACCCAACAUGAUGAACCCAAACCCAAUGACUAAUUCAGCUAGGAAGAAAAAGAAUAAAACAGAAGCAUAGUAGAAUUGGGCAUACUGGUACCAUUUACAGAUUUAACGGAACUCUGAUUUAAACAAAGAAAACAAGAGGAACUUGACCUACUACUUUGAAUAAACCGUGGCAGCAAUAAAUGAAUGAAGGAAUGGUAAGAAGAAGAGGUGAAAUCAGAAGCGGGAGGAAAACAAAGUUAAAGAAUAAAAGGGUAUACAAUCAAAAAAAGAAAACAUGCACUAUCUUACUAGAAACACAUGAGUGAGGUUUGUUUUGGCAAGAUUUGUCGGUCUUUGGCCUUGCAUGGGGCUGAUGGACUUCGAAUCAAGUUGAAAUCCAUGCUAAUCACUCAUCCUCGAAGAGCAUAAUCGACUGGAAUAGGUCCCGACUCAUUAUCGUCCCAUGAAAACUGCUUCUACUUGGAAAACGGGCAAAAUUAAGGUUUCGAAUUUGGGCAUCAAAUUUGGGAUUUGAGAGUAAGAGUGGGGAUUUUGGGGAUAUUAGUGUUAGAUUCGUGUUCCAUGGGGUGUGGGGAUUGUGUGGUUAAGUUUUGAGAGGAUUUGGAAGCCGGCGCCGGCCGGAGAUGGUGAAGGAUUUCAAGGGCGGCGCUAGGGUUAGAGGUCUGAUGAGGAAGAUGAAGUGGAAAUGAUCGAGUCCUAGGUUGUUUGGACAUUUUUAAAUGAAUUCAAUGAGGCUUCUC
rnacentral:lncRNA from 1 species